rnacentral:rRNA from 1 species
AGAUUAAGCCAUGCAUGUGCAGGUGAAUACUAGCAAUGGUGAAAACCGCGAAUGGCUCACCAAGUCAGUUGUAUUUUAUAAGACUAUUUGACGUGUGGACAACUGUGGAAAACCUAGAGCUAAUACAUGCAAAUCUUGCCCGACUCUAAUCGAGGGGCGCAUUUAUCAGAUCAAAGCCAAUGCUUCCUUACGGAAGCUAAAUUUUGAUGACUCUGGGUAGAUUUACUGAUUGCACUGCCAUUGUGUUGGUGACGGUAGCUGCAAGUGUCUGACCUAUCAACUUUUGUUGGUAGUCGAUUUUACUACCCCGGUUGUAACGGGUAACGGGGAAUCGGGGUCGAUCCGAGAGAGACAGGAUGAGAUACCGCUGUCACAUCCCAGGAAGGCAGCAAGCGCGGAAAUUACCCAAUCCCCGAUCGGGGAGGUACUGACUAGAAAUGUCGGUGCCGCGAUAUUUUUAUUCGGCAGUCGAAAUGAGAACAAGUAAAGAUUUUUAUCGAGAAUCUAUUGGAGGGCAAGUUCUGGUGCCAGCCGCCGCGGUAAUUCCAGCUCAAAGAGCGUAUGUCAAAGUUGCUGCGGUUAAAACGCUCGUCGUUGGACAUGCGAAAUUGGUUCGUGGACAACCAAGUGUUGCCACCACGUUCUCGUUUCUUAUGCAGGCUUGUUGACCGUCGAUGCACUUUACUGUGUGUGACGGUGCAGAGCCACUGUUACCCCGAAAGAUCCAAUGUGCUCAAAGCAGGCAGAGGCCUGAAUAACGUUUCACGGGAUAACAAAAAACGGUCUUCGCUCCGUUUCGUUGGCUUUCGAAAGCUGAAGCCAUGAUUAAUCGGGACAGACGGGGGCAUUCGUAUUGCGGUGCUAGAAGUGAAAUUCUGUGACCAUCGCAAGACGGACGACUGCGAAAGCAUUUGCCAAGAAUGUUUUCGUUAAUCACGAACGAAAGUUGGAGGAUCGAAGACGAUUAGAUACCGUCCUAGUUCCAACUGUAAACUAUGCCGACCAGGUUUUCGCCGAGGCUUUUGCCUGGCGAGCGCCUUCCGGGAAACCAAAGUUAUUUGGUUCCGGGGAGAGUAUGGUUGCAAAAUCGAAACUUAAAGGAAUUGACGGAGGGGCACACAAGAAGUGGAGCCUGCGGCUCAAUUUGACUCAACGCACGAAAGCUUACUCGGUCCGAACACUGCGAGGAUUGACAGGCUGAAAGCUCUUUCUUGAUUCAGUGGGUGGCGGUGCAUGGCCGUUCGUAGUUGGUGAAGUGAUUUGUCUGGUUUAUUCCGAUAACGAACGAGACUCUACCCUACUAAUUAGCGCGGUGAUUGUACGUCGCCGUUUUGCUUCUUAGAGGGACAGGUGCUUAUCAAGCACAGGAAGUUGAGCAAUAACAGGUCUGUGAUGCCCUUCGAUGUUCGAGGCUGCACGCGCGCUACAAUGGAGGGCGCAGAGCGAACUACGCUCCCUGCGAAGGGUGCGGAAUCGCAAACAGCCUUCGUGACUGGGAUCGGGGAUUGGAAUUUUUCCUCUCUAACGAGGAAUUCCUAGUAAGCGCGACUCAUUACGUCGCGUCGAUUAAGUCCCUGCCCUUUGUACACACCGCCCGUCGCUACUACCGAUGAAUGAUUUGGUGAGGUCUGCGGAUAGGUAUGACUGGCCGCAGUGCCUGGUUAAACUUCCUAAAAGCUAACCGGGCUUAAGUGUUUUCGAGGAAGUAAAAGUCGUAACAAGGUUU